GAGUGAACGCUGGCGGUAGGCCUAACACAUGCAAGUCGAACGGCAGCCCAGUAAGAGCUUGCUCUUACGGGUGGCGAGUGGCGGACGGGUGAGGAAUACAUCGGAAUCUACUUUUUCGUGGGGGAUAACGUAGGGAAACUUACGCUAAUACCGCAUACGACCUACGGGUGAAAGCAGGGGAUCUUCGGACCUUGCGCGAUUGAAUGAGCCGAUGUCGGAUUAGCUAGUUGGCGGGGUAAAGGCCCACCAAGGCGACGAUCCGUAGCUGGUCUGAGAGGAUGAUCAGCCACACUGGAACUGAGACGCGGUCCAGACUCCUACGGGAGGCAGCAGUGGGGAAUAUUGGACAAUGGGCGCAAGCCUGAUCCAGCCAUACCGCGUGGGUGAAGAAGGCCUUCGGGUUGUAAAGCCCUUUUGUUGGGAAAGAAAAGCAGCAGGUUAAUACCCCGCUGUUCUGACGGUACCCAAAGAAUAAGCACCGGCUAACUUCGUG
rnacentral:rRNA from 1 species